UGGGGAAUAUUGGACAAUGGGGGAAACCCUGAUCCAGCCAUGCCGCGUGUGUGAAGAAGGCCCUCGGGUUGUAAAGCACUUUCAGCGAGGAAGAACGCCUAACGGUUAAUACCCGCUAGGAAAGACAUCACUCGCAGAAGAAGCACCGGCUAACUCCGUGCCAGCAGCCGCGGUAAUACGGAGGGUGCAAGCGUUAAUCGGAAUUACUGGGCGUAAAGCGCGCGUAGGUGGCUUGAUAAGCCGGUUGUGAAAGCCCCGGGCUCAACCUGGGAACGGCAUCCGGAACUGUCAAGCUAGAGUGCAGGAGAGGAAGGUAGAAUUCCCGGUGUAGCGGUGAAAUGCGUAGAGAUCGGGAGGAAUACCAGUGGCGAAGGCGGCCUUCUGGACUGACACUGACACUGAGGUGCGAAAGCGUGGGUAGCAAACAGG
rnacentral:rRNA from 1 species